AGCAAAGUCAGUGAACCCUGAACCCAAACCCAGACACCCAGAUCAGUUGUUUGAGACUUCGUAAGACUCAGACUUUGAAACUGGCCUCUCAAUGUAAACUCCGUCCACCCACUGAAUUGGGCUCAGUUACAGAGGAGUGAAUGUCGAGAGUGCAGAGAAGGUUUUGAUCCGGAGGCGGGGUCUGACGAUCACACUCAUUGCCACGUGAAACCAUGGUUACUGUAGUAAAACCAAGGACCACCCAUUGGGCUCCGAGGAGAGAGAUUCCCUGCACGAUGUCUCUAUGGAAUAUUAAUGGGCUUCUCCUGGGAAAACUGCCCACAGAAUGGGCUACUCCAUCGCUGUCUCUGUUUCCGCUCAGCUGUCCUCUGGUUAUGUGAGGGUGUGCACUCCUUCAGUCCAAUCCUGCCUGGAGAAAUGGAAAAAAACACUUCAAGCUGUUGUAUUGAUGUUUCAUUAAAGACCCAAUGAAAUCAAAAUAAGAAUUUUGUGGCUUUUAGUCCAUGUGUGUUAGUAUUGAGGACAUGUACAGGUAUAUGCUAGUGUACUCCUAAAUUUGUACAAAAUUCACUGGAGAUCAUACCAAAAAAUAUUGAUGACUUAUCUGAUUGGAUAUUUUUGUCCAAUCAA